rnacentral:rRNA from 1 species
UACGAAGGGGGCUAGCGUUGCUCGGAAUCACUGGGCGUAAAGCGCACGUAGGCGGAUUGUUAAGUCAGGGGUGAAAUCCUGGAGCUCAACUCCAGAACUGCCUUUGAUACUGGCGAUCUUGAGUCCGGGAGAGGUGAGUGGAACUGCGAGUGUAGAGGUGAAAUUCGUAGAUAUCGUAAGGAAGACCAGUGGCGAAGGCGGGUCUCUGGACAGUUCCUGACGCUGAGGCACGAAGGUCAGGGGAGCAAACGGG